CCUACGGGGGGCUGCAGUGGGGAAUAUUGGACAAUGGGCGCAAGCCUGAUCCAGCCACGCCGCGUGAGUGAUGAAGGCCUUCGGGUCGUAAAGCUCUGUGGGGAGGGACGAACCGCUGUCGGUUAAUACCCGGCAGCAUGACGGUACCUCCUUAGCAAGCACCGGCUAACUUCGUGCCAGCAGCCGCGGUAAUACGAAGGGUGCAAACGUUGGCCGGAAUCAUUGGGCGGCGACUGAGCAUAGGCGAUUUGAAAGCCCUCGGCUUAACCAAGGAAGUGCAUCCAAAACUGCUGAGCUUGAGUAGUUAAGAGGAUCGCGGAAGUCCCGGUGUAGAGGUGAAAUUCGUAGAUAUCGGGAGGAACACCAGUGGCGAAGGCGGCGAUCUGGGAACAUACUGACGCUGAGGUGCGAAAGCGUGGGGAGCAAACAGGAUUAGAUACCCUUGUAGUC
rnacentral:rRNA from 1 species